GCGCUCAGCGCAGCUCCGCGCAGGCCUGGAAGUCGGCGGGCUGCCGGAAGUCGGCGUGCUUCCGGGUAGGGCCGGUUCCAACUGUCCUGGCACCUGCUGCUGCGGAUGCCGGGGUUGGUGACCUGGGAGUCCUCCCGUGACCCCGGAGACUCCGCCGGGCGGUCUGGGGCGGUGCUGGCCGUCGUCCGGGCGCGAGUGCCCCAAGAUCCCACAGAGGCAAAUCAUCUUACUUUAUUUAUUUAUUUUUUUGAAGUGGAGUCUUAUUACACCAUGCCAACGAUGUACAGCAAGGAACUGAAGUUAAGAGGCUAAAUUGUUGUUAUGCCUUGAGGGAAGGUGUGAGCUUGCAAGAACUGAAGAAAGCUGAUUCUAUCAGGCACAGCAUAGUAAUAGGCACAAAGAGAGUAAGCGGUAAGAAGGAAUUCAGCCAGAAAAUUGCUAAGCAAAGCACAGUCUUAGGCCUUUAAAAAAUAUAUUGGUGCUUGACCUUCCUCUUAGUCAUCAAUGACAUUCAUCAUUACAAAUUAAAUACACCUUAGUAUGUAAAAUCAUGACUGGAAUGUGCUGGUGACAAAUCUAGUGAAUAAAAUGUUUCAAAUGUU